rnacentral:rRNA from 1 species
UACGUAGGGUGCGAGCGUUGCCCGGAUUUAUUGGGCGUAAAGGGCGCGCAGGCGGCUCGGCACGUCCGUUGAGAAAUCGCCCGGCUCAACUGGGCGGGGUCAGCGGAUACGGUCGAGCUUGAGCAAGCUAGGGGGCAAUGGAAUUCCCGGUGUAGUGGUGGAAUGCGUAGAUAUUGGGAGGAACACCAGUGGCGAAGGCGGCUCACUGGACCGGAACUGACGCUGAGGCGCGAAAGCGUGGGGAGCAAACAGG